CCCUUAGAUGUUCUGGGCCGCACGCGCGCUACACUGACGAAUGCAACGAGCUUAUAACCUUGGCCGAAAGGUCUGGGUAAUCUCCAAAUUUCGUCGUGAUGGGGAUAGAUUAUUGCAAUUAUUAAUCUUCAACGAGGAAUGCCUAGUAAGCGCAAGUCAUCAGCUUGCGUUGAUUACGUCCCUGCCCUUUGUACACCCCGCCCGUCGCUCCUACCGAUUGAAUGGUCCGGUGAAGCGUUCGGACCGUGGCCUUUGGACGGUUCGCCGUCUGUUGGCUGCGGGAAGUUCGUUAAACCUUAUCAUUUAGAGGAAGGAGAANUCGUANCA
rnacentral:rRNA from 1 species